rnacentral:rRNA from 1 species
AAUGAACGCUGGCGGCAGGCCUAACACAUGCAAGUCGAACGGAUCCUUCGGGAUUAGUGGCGGACGGGUGAGUAACGCGUGGGAACAUACCCUUUGGUACGGAAUAGCCUCGGGAAACUGGGAGUAAUACCGUAUGUGGUCGAGAGACGAAAGAUUUAUCGCCAAAGGAUUGGCCCGCGUUGGAUUAGGUAGUUGGUGGGGUAAUGGCCUACCAAGCCGACGAUCCAUAGCUGUUUGAGAGGAUGAUCAGCCACACUGGGACUGAGACACGGCCCAGACUCCUACGGGAGGGAGCAGUGGGGAAUCUUAGACAGUGGGGGAAACCCUGAUCUAGCCAUGCCGCGUGAUCGAUGAAGGCCUUAGGGUUGUAAAGAUCUUUCAGGUGGGAAGAUAAUGACUGUACCACCAGAAGAAGCCCCGGCUAACUCCGUGCCAGCCGCCGCCGUAA